rnacentral:rRNA from 1 species
AUUGAACGCUGGCGGCAGGCCUAACACAUGCAAGUCGAACGAGUGGCGGACGGGUGAGUAAUGUCUGGGAAACUGCCCGAUGGAGGGGGAUAACUACUGGAAACGGUAGCUAAUACCGCAUAACAUGGGAUGUGCCCAGAUGGGAUGAGCUUGUAGGUGGGGUAAAGGCUCACAUAGGCGAAGAGCCCUAGCUGGUCUGAGAGGAUGACCAGCCACACUGGAACUGAGACACGGCCCAGACUCCUACGGGAGGCAGCAGUGGGGAAUAUUGCACAAUGGGCGCAAGCCUGAUGCAGCCAUGCCGCGUGUAUGAAGAAGGCCUUCGGGUUGUAAAGUACUUUCAGCGAGGAGGCGUUACUCGCAGAAGAAGCACCGGCUAACUACGUGCCAGCAGCCGCGGUAAUUC